AAAUUUCACUGAUCGGAAAUGUCUUGCCCAAAAGCAAUUCCCGCUGGAAAAAGUCAAAAGGGUUCCUGGCAUUAAAACGACCUUGCGUCAUUCCUGAUGAAAUUAGCAGCGCUGCAUGUUUAGAGACUUGCUAUGGAUGCACUUUGGUCACAGUAAGAAGUCAGAGAUUUGGGGUCUAAUCCCCUGUCUGAGCAGAAGCCGUUUGCUUUCACUAGCUGCGAAUCCCGAGACCAGCACUCGAAAGCGUCUUAGACCCGCAGUCCAUUUUUUACUUGUCUUUAAGUGCAAGUGAUGGGAAUUGCUAACCUCGGCUAAGAAAAUUUCAUUUCCCCCAUCCUGCUAAACGGUUCUGGUCGACAUAUGUUUGUUAUCAGAGAGAAGUGCUAUGAACACAGAGCCAUUUUCUUAGCAGCUCUUUGACUCUGUGUUACCAUAGUCCCACACGGCAUUGGUCCUUUCCCGUUGGGAAGUCAUGAAUAAGAGACUGUGAAGCUUGCACGUCAGAUCUUCCUCAAUUAAUCCACCAUUAGCAUGUUUGGGAUCCUCUACUGGAUGGUUAACAGCAGCUUUGGUAACUGUAUGCUGUCCAUACCCAAUUAUGCUCUGCUAAAAAUGAACUCUGCAGAACAACCUUCCUGAGCUGUCAGUGUCUCCCGUUUUCCUAUUUUAACGCUUGUGUGUAGUGGCAGGCGACAGAUGGUGUAGAUCAGAUCGAUUUGAUUGCAUUAGGCGAUUUUUUUUCCUCCUCUCCCCCCCGACUCCUUUUCUGGAAGCCCACAUUCAGCUGAGAGGCGAUCGCCGGGGACAUGGGAAGCAAGAGCAGCCGCCGAUGUGUGAAAGCAACGAGACACGGCCAGCCAGAGGCGCCGGGGUCCCUUCCCGGGGUUUGUUAACAUGGUAAUCCGGCACCAGGAGAGAAAGCUGCUUUCUGCUGCCCAGAGCCCGUUCCCCAUCACACAUCAGAUGACUCCCUGGUUUUACACACAGUUGGAGUUCUGCUUGAAACCUGGAUUUAAAGGGAAUCUGUUGCUGCGUGUGACAUCCCUUGCGAGCUCCCAGGGAGAACUGAUGGAGCAUACAGCUAGGGAAUAGGAUGCCGGAGAAGCGCGGAGGAAGAGACCGGGCAACCACCAGGACGGGAAGGCACCGCGCCCGCUGGAUAUGGGACGGGAUCGCUCGGCUACCCUUGUGGAUUCUCCUUCUGCUAGAGGGGAAUUAUAGUUAUGGAUUUAUUGCCCCGGUGCAGCACUUCCAGCAGCAGCAGCAGCAGCAGCAGCUUUCUGACUCUCUUCGGUGACGGGUAUUCUUGGGUGGAUAAUACGGAUUACGUUGUUAUUGCUUAAGAAUACGCGUAGUCGAGGAGAGUACCGGCGGCGGGCAGGCAGGCAGGCAGCGCGACCGCCCCCAGCCCACCAGCUGGCUCCCAACCUCCUCUAGUUGCCAAGAUGGAAUGAUGAAAACACGUGUUCCCAUGCAAUUACUUGCUGCUGCCUUAUAAAAAGCCAAAGCAUAAAUCAACUUCAAUAUGGAGUAAACUAAUAGCAUCAUUGUGAAAGAACAACCUGAAGAGUUUUGCCCUACUACUGAAAAUGAAAGCAGACCUCAGCUGAUGAGAGUAAGCCUCUGUAAAGAGAGGUUUAAGAUGAGAUGUGAAGGUGUUUGACUCGGCUUUCCCAGCCUGCUGAGAAUGAAUUUUGGAAUUGGGCUGGACAAGAGUUAAGAGCACAUCUUCCAUGUACCUUUGGCUUGUAUUUUGGAGAGGCCGAUAUGCUGUCCUUGGGUCAUCUGAAACAUCAGCUGCCCUAACAGAGAAGAGCUGACUGGUGAUAAAUGCACUGAUCCUAUUUAUGCAUCACUUUCCAACUCAUCAAAGCAAUUUUAAAAUCAAUAUGUUACAUUUAACAGGGAGGCCAUGCAUUUCUCUCUGGGCAGGAAUAACACGCCGAGUCUGCUAAGGGAGAAUUAACGUUCCAGGUGCAGCGUUUGGUACAAACCACAGAAUAUAAAGAAUAUUCCAGGAAAGCCAUAAAGGGAGAUGACGCAAAGAUGUUUUCUGGGAUGUUAAAAAUACAGCUAUGCUUGUGAGCUGCUGUGUGAGCUGGAGUGCAGGAGACAUCCGCAGAUGUCAGGAGUGCCGUGCUGAGUCCUGAGCAGCUCCUGCCAUUUUAACGUGUAACGAGGCCAGGGGACAGCUUUGUGCAGCAUUCAUAACAUAAUGCAGCUGAUGUACGUAAAGAUGUCUGAGAGGGGAAGGCAGGUCUGCCAGCAGUGCUGUUGAUACCACAGUGAUCUGUCUGGGCCGGGGGCUGCCGACUCGAAUGCAGGGCUGCAGGAUCAAGCCGCUGCGUUUUGAAUGGGUUUGAGCUGUUCCUAAAUAAAGCUUCAUUAGUUAGGGUGGCACCGCUCUGUCUGCUUCCUACUGAGCAGCAGGAAGACAAAGAGAGCAUCUACAAUCGUAAUAGUUUAACAGAAAUUGAUUUAAAGCCUGGAAUAAUAGGAAGCUUAGAGAGCCUGGAUGAGAGAUGGUGUUGGGCAGAAAGAGGUGGGAAUGAAGAGGAGCAAAGCCCAACCAGCUGCAGACGAAGGAGGAGUGAAUCUUCUCUUUUCAUCUGUUGGUUGAAGCACCACAUCUGCAAACAGAUGUGGAUGUUCAUGAUGCAUCUAGGAAACUGUUCUCCUUGACUUCGUGACUUGUUCGUAGUGCCGCGCUCUCAGCCCCAGGCAGACUGGCUGCAUGGCCCUGGGCAAAUGGGCACCCAGGGUCAUUACGCAGGUUCUGCCUUACUGUGUGCUCUGGUGAAAGGCUUGCAUAUGGCUUCCAGCUUUCAGAGAUUUCUGGUCUGUCCAAAAUACUUAGGACUGCAACAUCUUAGACCUGUGCAUGUCUUUGUCUUUUUUUUUUGAUUGCUGAAUGUGAAGUAGUUUGGCUUUUAUGAUGUGUCUAUGUAUAUGAUUUUAGUAGCUUGGAUUGCUUUUAUAUAUUUAUGGUGAAAAUUACAGCUGCUUAAAAAUUGAUUAUUGAUCAUAGGAAGACACUAGAUGUUUUUAAUCUUCAGAGGCAGAAUUACAAAUUAUUAAGUGAUAUAAAGUAUUUUAGUUAAGGGCAUUUUAUUAAAAACACUUCAUCUAGCAUUUACAGAAAGGAAAUACAUUGUGUUUCUUUAUGUGAGGUCUCACAGAAAAACAUGGUGGGACUUAGCCCUUGUCACUCAGUAACUGCACUGAUGUUAAUAAGACAAGAUUAGAUUCUUUCCGAAUUGCAUAAAACACUGAAAGAUUCAAAAGCAGGGGUUUGGGGAGCUGUAGCAUUCCAAUUGCAGUGGAUAAACUAUCUGCAGGAGUUGCGAUCUGUUUGCACACACACACAAUACGUUCUAGUUUUCUACUGAAAAUUUAUGACUACUGUCAUGUAUGCUAUAUAUAGAAUGUCUGAUCAUGUAUGUAAAUGUACAUAUAUUUACACAACAAUGUGUAUACACAUGUAUAUAGUAUGUAUAUACAUACACACUGUAUCGUGCUUUGAAAAUCCAAAGGCUGCGUUAGGCCAUGCAGCAGGUGCCUUUUUGGUGCAUGCGGAGCAGUGCCCGUCCCAGCCUCCCUGAGGGUCUGCUCGGCACGAGGCUCUGCCAGGCCCUGGGCAUGAGGAGCUGCAGCAGAGGCUCCCUCCCUUUAUUUCUUGUGACCAGGUGCCUGAAUAUGGGGGCUGCUUACACGCUCUGGAGUAGCGGCUGUACCAGGUGUGCGGAUGGGGACGUGAGGCUGGCAGGCCGAGCCUUGUGAAUCAGGUAGAAGAGAGGCCUUCAGCACGGGGUCUGCACUCUCUGUCAGUGCUGGGGCUGAGCAGGAAACUGGUUCCUCCCUUGGGGAAGAUGACCAAAGAGACACGAUGUGCUCCAGGAGGCCGGUGGGGCUGCAGGAAUGCCAGAUGCCUUUGCCAUUAACCUGCUCUCCUUAAGCUGGCUCAGGAGCUGAAUAGUUCACCAGGGUAAAUCCCAUCCUUUCAAAAGGCAGCAGAAAUACCACCAUUAUGAUGUUCUGACGAACCAAAAUAUUUUUGUUUGCUGCAAAGGUUUAAUUUGUGUGCAGCCGUGUUUCCCCCUUAGGAUGUCAAAGAAAGAGGCUGUGCUAGUGCCGCGCUGCCUGCCUUGCCCCGAUGACAAAGUGCUCCUGCGGCAGAAGUCACCUUCUGUGUUCAGCCAAGCUCGACUGGAGUUGUCCCUGUGGCUGUGCCGCCGAGGGACUCUGAGGGCAGUUGCGGGUGCAGAGCCAUGGCACCGUAUUUCAAGCGAUAAUAAAAACUCCUCGGAUAAAUUGAGGGAGCGUGGCUUUCUGCUGCAGCACGUUGGGGGUACCUAAGCCAGUCUAUCAUUGUGCGAAGGCAGCAGAUGCAGUCAGUGCUCGGAGGAAAUGGUUCAUGACCCGAUGAUGCUUCCCAAGGGAUGCAGCCAGGAAACAAAGAGGCGCUGGGGGCUCCUGGGGUGGGAGCAGCGCCGAGGGGAGGGCGAGGGAAGCAGCAGGAGAGGACAAUGGGAGGAGCGAGCAGGAAGGCACAGUCCAAGCCGAGAAGCCCUUUUUGCUUCAGGCUGUGUGGCUGGACGCAGUGCUCUGGGUGCUGGGUGGGAUGCUCGCUGCACAAGCUUAUUGAAGGCGAUCCCUGGGAAAGCAUGCAUUGAUGGGGUGCUGCCAGAGUAUUUUAGUCCAUGUGCAACCCAUGCUGAGAAUAGGGGAGCACUGGUGUGAAGCACCGCCUGGCUGCGGGUCCAGGGCAGGCAGCCAGGGUGCUCCCCGGGGGCUGUACCCUGAGGAAGGACACCACGAGGCUGAGGGGAGAAGCUGGCCUGGCCUUGGGUAAAUCCUCAGGUGUGUCCCUGUCUUCAGCUGAUGUCACAGCUGUGGAGGAAACACCUGGUGGUGGUGGACCAGAGACAGAGUGGCCCCUGGGCUGUCCCAAUCUCUGCACCCAUCCCACAGCUGUCACACGGGCAGACGUGGCCAUGCCAGUGUGUGGAUGAAAGCAAACCCUAUGCAGCGUGGGCCACAGCAUGUCACCCCAGUACCAUCCCUGUGCUCCCCCCUUCAGGGCUCAUUUGUUGGUGCUUUUGCUCCAGCUGGGUGUUUGGCCCCAUUGUGUUUGCAUCAGACAAAUCCAGCCCAGCUGUGCUGGUGCAAAGGAGCAAAUAGUUUCAGAAAACAACUGUAAGAUAAAGAUGUAACAAAUGAAGACAAAAAUGUUGCUAACAGGCCUCAUUGGUGGUGACGUUAUUUGCAAAUAGCACUUGGAGAUUAAAAAAAAAAAAAGUGAAAUAAAGCAGCUUUUCUCUGAACCUGUCUGUGCUAAAGCCACACCCUUGCUCAGUCCCCACCUGAUGCUGGUUUUCCCCUGUCCCCACACAAAGCUGUGGCUGUGUGGGCGCUUGCUGGGGCCUGGGAUGCCCCCACGAGGAGGGUGAGCUCAGUGGAAGAGGGACAGCAAGGGCUGUGCUGGUGUGCUGCUGUGGUACCAGGCAGGGCUCACCCCACACCAAGGGUAGGUCCCCAGUCGUUUGGCUUGAGUGUGUGUUGGAGCGUGUGUGUGUGCUGAGCCUGGGACACAUCGCUGUGGUGCUGCAUCUUCUCAUGGGUAGUCACGGUGUUCCCUGCUGCCCUGUGACUUGCAAUACCUAUUUUAUUAUUUACACAAACUCAUGUUCUUGCUGUCCUUGGGGAAUUUCACCCAAGUAAGCGCUGAGCUACUUCAUCUCCCUGUGAAUCCAUAAACACAAACACCUUGGAUGUAGUUUUUCUGCUACUGUGGUCUCUAUUAUUCACUUUGGCAAUGUCCUUUUUAAAGAAGCUAAUAAACCUGUCACGACAAGUCCAUCAAAUCUCAGCAGGAUGCUUCUUUCACUUCUGAGGUUCCUUUCAUAACCAGCCUGCAUGCUGGCACCAUUCGUUAGAAGCAUCCGGCCAGCUUUGUUCUUUAGCAUUAUUGUGCAAUGCUUUUUUUUUCAUGGUACCUGAAGCUCAUAAGACAACUAUCAGUUUGCCUCCUGAUGGGGGAGAAGGCGUUUGUAUUGUGUUUCAUGUCUCGCGUCUCUGAAAAGGACUAGGAAACAUAAGCACAGUAACUUGUGGGUUUUCUGUCUUAGAGAAUUAGGAUGUCUUUGCAUUACUGAGCAGGCAAACAUUGAGCAGCGCUUGAUCAAUAAGAGGCAUUGCCAGAGGUCUGGUGUAGUCUACAGCAGCCAGCGGUAAGUGUUGCUAUAGGCUAUGGAACUAGGAAUAUAAAAUGUCGAAUGGCAGUAAUAAUUCAUGCAUCCUGGGACAUAUAAAACCAACAGUAUGUCAAUAGCUGUGGCAUGCUCUGCAGAAAAUAUGCAGGAUUUAGAUAUCGCAGGAGCCUGUGUUUUACUUUAAACCACACUUUCCUUGGUGAAAUAUAGACUUUCCCUAUUUGGUAAAAGCAUUUAUUUUCAGUUUAACGUCGCUGCUUUUCUAUUAAGAUUCUAAGAGAUGUGCAGCUCAGAAGGGGUCCCGAGAUUCAGAGAUUCGUAAAGCAAAAUACAUGUAUUUAUUGAAGAAAAAACACAUAAAAGACUUGUAAAACAGGGUGCAAUAGUAUUUGAAAUUCAUGGACCACUUUGGCAUUCAUAAAAGCAUAUAUGGUUCUCAUGUUGGCUUUACUGGGGAUUGGACUGUGCUGGCUGGGUUACCCAGGAGAUAUCUCUCAUUCCCUGUGUGAAGCUCAUUACAACCACUUCGUAUUUUACUUGGAAAGUGAAAUAUCUUGUGAAAUAAGUGAGAACUUCUCCAGUAUUCAUCCUCCUGAAAAUACUUCAGAAUAAUUAAUAUUGCUUGACUCCUGUGAAAAGAUACUAAAGAGGGUGAAUUAUUGCAUCUGGGAGGCUACGGUAGGCAUCAGAAUAAAGACUGCAUCCAUCUGAUACUGGGUCUCCUCUGUGCCACUGCUGCUUGGGAACAUAGACGUGAUGAGUGCUAUUUUACCUGCUAAGGCUCCCACAAAAAUUCUUCACAUGAAACUUUAAUGAGAAAAGGGGAAAAAAAUGUUCAAGCAGACCCUUUCUAGUGCUUUCAGCUGUGUGCUCUUAUGCACUCUAGCCGUGUGUUGCCAGGCCUCAAUUUUGCUAAAUCUGCCUGGAAGUAGAAAGGCAAAACAGAGAAGUUGCUUGUCACUCAUGAUUAUAUGAAUAUGGGCCUUAACAUACAGGUAAUACUUCUAAAAGAAUUUAAAAUAUUAACAACAACAACAAAAAAAAGGCAAGAAAGGCAUCACAAAGGAACCCACCAUGCAUUAUUUAAAUCUUCUCUCAAGCUGAGGGCUGAAACGCAUCCGCAUCGUCUGCUCUUCCAAGUGACAACGAUCCCUCCGCUGGAGGGCUGGGGGUCCCGGCUCCCAGUUGUCUACUCUGCAAUAUGUAUUUUUUAAAGUGCAGAUUCAAACAAUAAUUAAACAUCUUAUAUAAUUUCUACGUUUUGAAGACCGCAAAGUGAUUUAAGUGCAGUGGACUGUAUCUAUACAAAUAGGCACUAAUAGAUAUUUCAGCACAUCUUGCUGAAGCAGAUGUUAAAUAAAAAAUAAAAAUUAAGCCCGCUGACUCUCUGAGACAUAUGAAAGGGAUGUCUUUGUUCUGAGCAGAGCAAGUUGGCUCAUUCUGCUCCUUCGGCUUGGUUCGAGGAGGAUGUGUUUUGCAGUCCUCCCAUGAUACUUGGCAAAUUUAAAGCUGUCACUGUUGAUCCUGCUUCUCUUUGUAUUAAAAGAAUGUCUGUGGUGUUUAUAUUAUGGGGGAAAAUGCUAUUUCUGCUGAUUGUAUUUUCAUUGUCUCUUUUCUUAUGACUGUACUGUUUGCCAGCAGCUGAGGGGCCACUUUGAUGCUUGCUCUGAUGCCAUGGUUUAUUGUGUAGCACAGUUGAGCCUAGGGUUUUCCUUUCUCAUCAGAGCUGACAUACUGGGUAAAAAAUAAAGCUUUUAUUUAAUUAUGGUUAUCUCAUAAAGUCUGCGUUUGUUAUAGCUGAUAGGGUGCUGGAAACCAAAGUUUGUAAAUACCUAUGUAUGUUCUGGUUUGUUUCUAAUCCCAGUGUUGUUUUGCCUGCUUCUGUUCCUCACCCUGACCAUGCACAUGAGCAGGCUUGCAAACCUGUUUGUGGAGUGAAGAUAGCAGGAAUACGUGCAUGCUACAGCCUCUACUUUGUUCACUGUUCCUGCUUAAAGGGAUUAGCAUCCAAUGAAAGAAAACGAAUGAACCUUGUUUCAGGAAUUCACUCAGGGAAGGGAGUAGCCAAAAUAAGCAGAGCCUUGGUGCUGGCGGCAGAGACAGAAGCAGCUUAUCUGGGUUCAGGUGUGUGGCGUGAUGCCUGCCUCUGCCUUGCUGCUGCGAGAGGUGUACGGGUUCACCCUGGGUGCUGGUGUGUGUGGUCUGACCCUCAGGUACCCACAGAAAGAUGCUUGCUGGCCCCGUUCCCCACCCCUCUGCUGAGCCCAUGCUGCAUGUCCUUGUGGUGAUGCCAGGCAGAAUUUGAGCAAUAUCCACUUGAAUGUAGCUAUUCCUUUUCUUCCUGUGUCUCACAGCUAUUUGCAAGCUGAUGAGAAACCAUUCUGUCUCCAUUUUGCAGAUGGAAAAGGAGGGACUUCGAGAGACUGUGUGAUUUGUCUGGGAUGAUGCAGCAAAUCAAUGGGAGGAAAAAAAAAAAAAAAAGGAUCAGGCCACUCCAUGCAAUUUAGGGGUGCCUUUAACUGCCCCAGGGGCUUCCUAGGGGAAGGUAUUCCAGUUCCCAAAGAGACAGCUUCUAUCACAGGAGUGUUCCUCCAUUAUUUCUGUCAGAGUAUUGCUGCUAACAGCGGAGAAAUGCAAAAUAUAUUAUUCAUCUCUCCUACUUAUAAAAUCAAUACCUAUGAAAAUACAAAUACAAUUUAAAUCAAAGGGCACUUGUUCAGUGCAGAUCCUACUAAUUAGGUAUGAUUUCCCAACAAUUUCUUAAAUUAUUUAUCCAAAAGAUGGGUAGCAGGCAAUUUAUGUGCCCCAGAGUGAAUAUUAUAAACCUCUUGUCAUGAUACAGCAAAUGUGAAAUGUACUGCAAUGCAAUAUGAUUUGUAACCCUGAUGAACUAAUGCAAUAUCAAUAGACAUCAAUCUGUGGAAAAAAUCUGUCUCGUUAUAACAUCUAACGAGAUACGUUGAAAGCCAAUAACCUUGUGAAAUGGACAUGCCUUGGUGAAGGAUACAGAUUGUGCUGCUAGGAAUCAAUUAAGACUGUAAUACCCACCUGUGAUGGAAGUUACUAAGCCACCACCACCAAAAAAGAGGUUUACAUUAUGCACGGACAUCCAUCGUGGAAGCAGCUCCUUCUUGGCUGGCGGCUGGCUUUCCGAGCAAUUCCACUGUCAUAUUUAGGCCUUUUUUCUCAUGCUGGCAUUGCAUAUUCUAGUUCCAGAGUCAACAUCUAAGCAAUAUUUCUCCCAUAUCUGGUUAAGGACAAUUUUAAAAAAAUUCAAAGAGAAGAACCAAAUGGUUUUGAAGAUUUUUGUGUACAAAAUAGGAGGCAGAUCUCCUGUAAAGUGAAGGGUCUACAUUUGCUAGUCAAUAAUGUAGACCAAUGCUCCACAAUUUUUAAUCAUAAGGACUUUUCUUAUGCAGCUCCUUUGGGUAUUUAUUUUCAAAUAUAAACUCCCAUUCGUAUAGUAGGUCUUAAAAAUUCAAGCUUGCAAGCCACCCAGCAACUGAAAAUCCUUAAUUGCAUUACAUAAAUGUAUCUACUCACCAGGUUGUUUUCUGUCGAUGAUUGAAAAGAAGUCUGAAAUAUUAGGCAUUACCACUCAGAUCUUAAACCUCUCCUCAGCACCUUCCUCUACAGCCAUCGUAGCGACCAGGCUACUGAAAAAGGCAACAGUAUCUUGAGCAAAAAGCUGGAGUCGUCCAAAGUGCCAGCACAUUUCAGUUACUGCAGCAGCCUGUGAUCUUACUGCACCUUUGGCAGUACUUAGAGGGAAACAAGGCAAAGCCUUAACUUGGGAUUUCAUGGCAUUUUAAAGUACAAGUCAGAAUUUUAAUGGUAUUUAAACCUUCCUUAUUAGUAGUACAAUAAGUGUCUUUCAGCUAGUGUUCAGCAAAUUCCUUCCUGGUGGUCUGUAAAAGGCAGUUCUGAAAGUCACAGAGCUGGAGACUGAAUGUGGGGUAUGUGGCCAGCUCGGGAGUGGGUUGCUGUGCUUGAUCUGAUGGGAGGACUCGGAGCAUCUGAGGAAGUGCUGCAUUAAGGCAGUGCUACCGCUCUCCUUACCAUGGGCUGUUCAGGUAGUAGUACAAUGUAUGAAGAAGUGUUGCGUGAAUAUGCUGGUUAUGUAGGAUUAGUUCACCAUCAUUCAGCUCUUCUUAUAUUAUUACUGUUUUUAAUUAAUGGAGAUUUGGAAAGUAUUUGUCUGGCAGGUGUGAGAAAAAGGUUCAGUCCCAGAGUGUUUAUGUUAGGAAUUCUAGGUACAUCAAGUGAAGAGACAGUCCUAUGAUAAUGUUUUGCACUUUCUCAUCCCAUUCUUAUUUAAAUUAGAACAAGCUAUCUGGAAGGAACAUCAAACAUUGCAACUACUGUUUAGUGGUAUUUUCAUUUUCUUGUCCUGCCUAAUUUCUUUCAGACAUAUUUAAAAAGUGUGUGUUUGUACAUUAGUGACUGCAAAGGUUACCUAAAUUAACACCACAGACUAAUUUUGUUUUAAAUGGAGGGAGGAGCACAUCUGUUUCAAACAGCUUUGUAAUAUGCCUUUUGUGAGUUCAAAUCACAUAUAGUAAUAACCGCUUAAGGGAGCCGCUACAUGCACAACUACUUAUUUGCAAUAGUUUUAACCAGUGCAGCUAUAAAACAGCACUAACAUUUUGGUGCAUUGAAAUAGGUUCCUCCUUUCCUCUCCCCUUGAAAAUUCAGCCUAUGUCACUGUUUAAUGGAUACCAAAGAUGAGUUUGUGUUCCUCCCCACGGCAGAUGUGUUAUUUGCUGUAGGACUGUUUGGGUAUAUCUUUUAUAUUUUGUAUUCAUCUUCCUUAGAAAGAGGCAUGAAAUGUUUUGUAGUUGUAAUUAAUAUUAUUUUUCAGCCAGGAAUUGUUAUAAUUAUAUAGCACUAUAAAUAUAAUUGAGAUAACUCUCUAGAUCAUAUCUCUGGAUUGAAUUUAGGGGUUAAAAGUGUUGCUGUUCAUCACACCUGCUUAGGAAGGAUAUAGUUUGGAAAUGAUCACAAACAUCAUACCUCAUGCAAGCCUAGAUCAAAUGGCUUACGUAAAUAGAGAAAUAUGCCUUUUUCCAUUGCUGUCCUUUCUACAGAUAAGGAUGUGUACAGCCUGCAGGUAUCUACACUGGGCAAACUGAAAGUAAACAAAUAGAAAUGUGUUCAACUGAGAAAUUUCUAUUGUAAACGAUUUUGCCUUAAAAUGUGGAAGGAUCAAAGAAAUGCUUUGCAGAAUAGAUCCUCCAUCUCAGGGAGGAGGCAGAGGACUGCAGUGGUACUGUCUGGCCUCUCUUGCAGUAGCAGGGGCUGGCCAUCUGUAAUGCACCUCUCCUGUGGUACAGGAAAGCACUGUUAACAUUCAUUUUUCAAAGGGAGAGCUGUGACAUGGACAGAAAUUAAGCAACCUGUCCAUACACAUAAGGGAAUUCUUUAAAAGAAAAGGAUUUGAAGAAAGCUGUGUGAGGCUGGGGCUAACACCCUAAACCAUUAGCCAAUCCUUGCAAAAUUUAUGUUGCCAAGUCUGUUGCCACUGAAAUCUGAAAGCAAACAUUAGCAGCCAAGAACAUCAUGCUAAUUAAUUGCCUCACGAGGACACAAUUUCCAAGAUCUAAUGAAAGAUGGAAUCCAGCUCCCAUAUGUCCCGCUUUAUAGCCCAAGAAAAUGUGCCUGUAUUUUUUGUAGAAAGAGUGAGCAAUGUCCAACUACACGUCUCUCAGCUGAAUAAAGCUAAUCACCAGGCCCAGAGACAGAAAUGGCCGUUCAUCAGCAACCGGACUGAAAAGCCAAACCAGGAUCUGUCACUGAAGAACCAUUUUGAUUUACCGUGUUAAAGGCAGCUUCAGAAGGUGAUAAUCGAGCACCUCUCUGCUUUUGUGCUAGGACAACAGUACCCAAUACUGUGCGUGUAGCUACUCUGCAACCUUGCCAGUUCAUUUAAAAUAACAAUAAAAAGUAAGAGUUAACAUGUCAUAUUCUCGACAAAAUAUUGGAAAGAAGACAGAGGUCUCCAUAUCAAUCAAGUCAACAGUAUGUGCCAGCACUGCCUUGCUUGUUCUUGCUUGAACUUGAAAUUGCUGUAAAUGGGGUGUUCGUACCAGAAGGACACAUGUAGCUGCAGGGGAACGGUAAGGGCUGCAGAGAGAGGUGUCCUUAUGGGAGCAUGUCCAUGUCUUGAAUGUGGAUAUCCUGUCCUGGCGUGGCUCUCAGGUUUGAUCUCUAGAGGCACAUGGACUGUAUUACCACAGCAGUUCAGACCCGGAUUCUCAGGGUCGUCAGGGAGCCUCACACGGAGCGGACCGGGAGGCCCCAUGCAAACUGGGAAGUGACAGGACUGUGGAGCAGGAUUUGCCAGACAUCAGUGUACACCCCAGGUCUUCUGAGCAUCGCUUCAUCCACCCAAACACUGCUAGUGUUUGUUAAAUGGUCAAUUUUUGGGAACACUGAAAAUUCUCACCUUCCUCUGUCAUCCUUUAUAUAUGAUACAUGUGGAACUGAUGAUCUGAAAAGAGUAUCUCAACACCAUGUUUAGUGGAAAUGGGCACAGUGAAAGCAGGCACAAAUUGCACAGCAAGGUUUCACCUUAAGUACUGAAGAAAAUAUAUUUUAUUCUGUCUACGUCGGGAUUAAAGAGAAAAAAAAAGUCAAGGUAAGUAAUUAUAACACACCAGCCAUUGUUCAUUUCUUCAAGAUCUCUCUGGUUUGUAGAGAAUAAUGAUAUUUCUGAACUUCAACAACUUCCACACAGGAAGGCGCAUCAUUUUGACGGGCCUCAGUAAAAUAUUUAAAAUCAUAAGGGUGGCCAUUAUGCAGCAUGUGGGAUAAAGUUAGACACAGGGUAGUUUUCUGAAAUUGGGCUUUAAUUUCACACUAGAUUUUAGGUGACACAAAACUCCAAAGGCAUUCCUGGUACUACUCCCUAAGGGAUGAGAUCAGCACUUAUGAGUGCGUGUUUUGAUGACACAGCUCAGAAGAUUAAAGUGAUUUUUAUUAUGGAAGGAUCAAGGUGAUAAAAAGCAUGUAAUACAUGAACAACUCUCAGUCAGACAAGCCAAGAAAGGUCAUAAUCCAUUAUAUUAAUGUUAUAAAUGUUAUCAUAAAUUGAUAGCAGGAUGAUAAACUGGUAUUCUUGCACUUUUUGUUGUUGUUUUAAAGCACUGCUGUUCUUAAACUUCACUCUGUCCUUGUAAGACAAGUUUAAUUUUUCCUCUCAGAAUAAAGGACCUUAAAGAUUUUCAACAUAACGUAAGUAACAUUUACAUGGAGGUUAGAAAAGCUGUUGUAUUUUUUUUUUUUUUUUUUUUUUUUUUACUUUUUAAAGUAACUGGCUGAAGUGUGUCAGCAGAAUCCAAGACACCAUGCACGGAUGAGGGAGGAGAAACCAGCAAUGCGAUAAUUCCAGGCUGUUUGGAUGCUGUCCACCAUUAGUUUAUUUGAACCUUAGCCCCUUACUUUAUAGGGCAUCUAUAAAGCAGGCAAGAUUUAUCACACUUUCAAAAGCUGUCCUGAUGACAGUGACAUUAUGGGCCCUGCUCUCUAGAGCCAGCUGCUGUCUUACAGCUCCUAAAUUCUCACUGCUGUUCACCAAAAAAUCUGCACUGUGACUGUUGAUCAGUCCAGAUCCUCAUUUGUUGUGUUUACUUAGGAUCCUUAGAUCCUCCAGGAUCUCCAAUGAUUUCUAGACCCUAAGGGAGAUGGAUGUUUAGCUGGAGCAGCACAUGCAGUGCAGCAGCAGCAACCACCUUCCCUUUUGGGGGUGGGUGCAGCAGAGGAGCCCUGGUAUGCAGGGGAGUGCUUUUGCUGGAGAAUUUACCUGGGGACCUUCCUGGGGCCUUUCAGAUGUCCACAGGGAUCUGAGCAAUGCCCUCGAGAGGAGGCAGCCCAGUGGCUGUCAGCAGCACAUAGCUCCUGGAAUUACCCCAGCCCUCCUCACCAGGGGCUGCGACAGCACAGUGCGUCUGAGGAGGCUUUCUUCUCAGCAGCACCACUGCCCGGGGGGCUGCAUCCACUGCUGACCAGUUAAGGGCCAGGAGUAGAUCGUUGCCACCUCACAUAAAUCUGUUCCCACCACAGGCUCCCAAGAGAGGGUGAGGGGUGACCUCUGAGCCCCUCCAAAACCAAAGCCUCAUGUCCACGCUCGCUAACUUUACCAGUUCUACAAGGGAAUUACAUCCUGCUGGAGCAUGGACACAUCGGAGGAGAAGCAGCAGCCCAGCUAGCACCGCACAGCUUGGUUUCUGGCACCUGGGGGAGCGGUAUCACGAACUCCAGAAAUGAAAGAGAAAUUGAAGCCUUGCAGCUGGCGUCUCCUGGACAGGCCCUCGCCAUGCGUGGCCACCGUGGAAGCAGCAGAGCUGCGCUCUGAGGGACCUUCUGAAGCCGGCAGCUUCGGGGGCACUGCUGCAAGGUGAGCCUUGGACCUGCCCAUGGUUGGCACUGACUGACUUCGGUCCCGCCACAGCAGAUAGAGCGACAUCCCACGUCCCCUGGGACCCUGACCCAGCUCCAUGUCCAGCAGAGAUGCCUGCGGUGCCAGUGCUGGCUUCGCCCUGCUCGCUGCUGCCUGCCUGCCUCCUCCUGCCGGACCACGGCUCGGCCCAGCCCCGUCCCCACACACCGCGCCGCCGGGCUGCCUGGCAUUUCCAGCCAUCGCAACGUGCAGCGAAAAUGCAAUGUGAAACUGCUAGCGUGGCAUGAGCAGGCUGAGCUCAGUAGAAGUGCAAUUAAAUAAAAAGUCGUGCUGUAAUACUGGGAGGCUGAUUGGAACCACAAGAUACCAGUGUCAUAUCCUGCGGCUUUUAUGUUGGUAGAUGCAGAUUUUAGCCAUUAGCAUCUAGCUAUCCAACAGAUAACAACCAGAGGAAAUGGACCUGGGGAUCUCCAGUUGUGAAUAACAGAUACAUUUUUGCCAGUAAAUUGUGGACCUGGUAAACUGCCAGAAGGAAACAAUUGUUGAGAUAUGGAAGAAUAUGAUCAGGCAUUUAAUAUGUGUCAGCUUCUAACUAUGUGUAACUUAAAGACACUCCCUGAUUACUCACAAAACAUUUAAAACAGUAUGUCAAGAGAACUCUGACACCAGAGAACCCUUGCGUGGCUCUGUUGCCAACUCCAAAUUCAGGCAAGUAAAUAAGUAGCAAUCACAAGACAGGACUGACGUAUCUGUGCGAACAGUAACAAAACCCAGGGCAGGUAUCACGGUAUCUAGGUGUGGGUAAAAUGCUAUGAGAAAAGAAUGAGAAAUAAGUAAAAAAUACAGUAAUGUAAAAUGUACCUGUUAUUAACUUCUAUAAAAUCUUAACAGCUAGGAUUUUUGAAUGUGGUAUUUAGAUGAAUGUAAAGAGAGCAACACAUUGUGUUUUUCUCCAGAGCAAAAUGAAAUCGGCAUACAGAGCAAAUUAUAAUACUUAAUUCUUCUAGGGCAAAUUCCAGUUGAGGAUCAUGAAGUAAUUUGAAAAUAUUAAUGAAUUAGCCUCACAGCUAGCUUUCAGGUAGAUAAUAAUGAUAAUUAUUACUACAAACAAAUAUUAUCAUUCUUGCUCUGAAAUGAAAAUUGAGGCACAGAGAUUUUAUGUAUUUGUCCAAAGUGUUUUACUACUGUAACCAUCCCUCUCUAGAAUUAUUGUAUGUGAAGCGUAUCCUUUUCCAAAUACUCUAUGCGACAUAUUAUUCAGUUUUUGAGCUCUAAAAGCCAAGCAGCUGAGCUUCCUUAUGAUACAGUGUCUGUGAACAUCUCCAUUUGCAUUUGAAUUCUCAAGCAGCAACAAUCCUGCUUAAACGAUAUAAAGAAAAAAGGAAUCAUGAAAAUCAGAGCAAAAUCUGUCAAGGACCCAUCUGUGAGUGGGUAUCAGAAUAUCGCUAAGAUGCUUUGAGGAACAAAGUUCACUCCAAGUCUAACACAUAGUACUUUUUGUCUACGGAAUUAAUUUAAGAUGGGUGAAAUGAGGGCAAAUAACAUGAAAAACUGUUCCUCUACUGACAAAUGCAGGAAAUCAGUAUCUCUGCUGCAAUGGUGAUCUUGUAUUUGGUCCAUGCACACUUGCUUAAAUACUAAAGAGUUUACGUGGCAAAAUACUCAGCAUGCUCAUGUCUCCUUUUGAUGGGCAUGCAUACCUACUGCUUCCUGAGGAGUGUUGGGGAGCAAGGGCUCUCUGGCCCUGGCAGGAUGAGGACUUGGGUUAUGGAUGCUUGUGGCAAAAAGCAAGUUUUCAUAGCCUACUACCUGAAGCAGUGCGGAAACAAAAGGAUAGACUCCAUCUUUGUGUUGAAAAUAUUGCUAAAACCACAUCUCUUUCCUCCUGAACUGGAAUGCAUAAAAGUUAGGAACACCUAUUGGUAGGCUAUUUGUAUCUCCUCUUCAGCAUAUAAAUUCCUGAGAGCCUUCGUCUUAGCUCUUUGCUCUCACACAUGCAUAUUUGGAAUCAUAUUAACUACAAGAAAUAGGAGAAAACUGGCAUUAACAUUAUUCUAUUGCACCAUAUUAUUUUUCCUUCAAAUUUUCAACUGUUAGAGUAUGCAAAUGUUCAGUUAACUGGUCCUCAUGUUUUCUCUUUAUUGAAUUGCUUUCACUAUGGCAAAUUCACUAAUUUAUUGAAUUGCUUUCACUAUGGCAAAUAAAUAUUCAUAAAGAAAUGUGGACAAUAAAUCAUUUCCAAUAGUUCAAAGCCAUUUUCGUUCUAGACUGCAUAUAUAUUCAGCUGUGACUUGCUUUUAAUAUUUCAUUCAAAAGACAGACUUGUAGAAGGACAAUAAUGAUAAUGUGUCAAGUAGUAGUUAAAACAGGGGUUAAUGAUUAAAAACAUUUUGAUC